ensembl:snRNA U6 U6 spliceosomal RNA
GUGUUCGCUUUGGCAGCACAACUACUAAAAUUUAAACAUUGCUGAGGAGAUUAGCAUGGCCCCUGCUCAAGCGUGACAUGCAAAUUCAUAAAAUGUUCCAUAUUUUU